rnacentral:sRNA from 1 species
GUGAGUCCUUAAGACGUGUAGUCCAGUGCAGUGCUAGAACAAUUAAAACACUACGGUGACUUGAAUGAAAACCAUUGAAAAUUCAUGAACGAGUGCCGUGAAAGACUGGAGGCCAAAAGUCAGCCGGAAAACUGAAAAGUUAUUUUCAAAAAUAAAUAGAAAGGAUAUAGUGAAGCUGUGAAAGGCUCUGCAAGGACCCUUGGAUUACCUUGCGGGGCGAGUGGAAGCGCGAGUGCCAAAAACGCCGCCGGACCUGCACGAUAGCCGGGCUGCAAUUUGAGAGAUUGAGAUUGAAAGGCAGAGACCCACUUGAGUGCGCUGGAAACCUGCCGUCUCCGGCAUCUGUUUGUUGCGUUUCGGCGGUGCGACGACGAGCAAGGACAACAAGGACGACGAGUCCUGCGGCAG